AGUUCCCUGAGAAUGGACACUGCCAAUCAACGUUUCAAUGCUGUACCAAAUCCUGCAAGGAAAUCAGAGGACUACAAAAAAGGAGCCAUUCAUUCCCAAGAUCUUCAACAAUACCAACAGUAAAAUCCAAACGAGACAUAGGGCUUUUCUCAGAGGGGAGGUCAUCGGAAGUGUUUACGAAAAGAGGAACGAUCUUGAUAGCAAUACAAAGACGGAUGAUACAAGGUCAACUUAUGUAGAUGUGGCAUCCGCUCCGCAGUAAAAGCAGGUCACAAGAACGAAAGCAGCCACCCAAGGCGUAGAGUGGAAGUCACAUGUUGCUCCACCAACCCCAUCCGCUUAACCUGAGCCAUUUGUAUGUGAUUUUUAUCAUUGCAUUUUCAAAUCUUAUCAUGGCAGCUUAACCUGCAUUCAAUACAUACUAAAUUUCCUUUA